CCUACGUGGGGCAGCAGUAGGGAAUCUUCGGCAAUGGGCGAAAGCCUGACCGAGCAACGCCGCGUGAAUGAAGAAGGCCUUCGGGUUGUAAAAUUCUGUUAUAAGGGAAGCAAGGUGAUAGGAGGAAAUGACUAUCAAUUGACGGUACCUUAUGAGAAAGCCACGGCUAACUACGUGCCAGCAGCCGCGGAAAUAAGUAGGUGGCAAGCGUUUUCCGGAAUUAUUGGGCGUAAAGAGAGCGCAGGUGGUCAAUUAAGGCUGAUGUGAAAGCCCACGGCGUAACCGUGGCGGGUCAUUGGAAACUGGUUGACUUGAGUGGAGAAGAGGGAAGUGGAAUUCCAUGUGUAGCGGUGAAAUGCGUAGAGAUAUGGAGGAACACCAGUGGCGAAGGCGGCUUCCUGGUCUGCAACUGACACUGAGGCGCGAAAGCGUGGGGAGCAAACAGGAUUAGAUACCCGGGUAGUC
rnacentral:rRNA from 1 species